rnacentral:rRNA from 1 species
UACGGAGGGGGCAAGCGUUAAUCGGAAUUACUGGGCGUAAAGCGUGCGCAGGCGGUUUUGUAAGUCUGACGUGAAAUCCCCGGGCUCAACCUGGGAAUUGCGUUGGAGACUGCAAGGCUAGAAUCUGGCAGAGGGGGGUAGAAUUCCACGUGUAGCAGUGAAAUGCGUAGAGAUGUGGAGGAACACCGAUGGCGAAGGCAGCCCCCUGGGUCAAGAUUGACGCUCAUGCACGAAAGCGUGGGGAGCAAACAGG